AAACACGGGGCAGGUUUAGUGUCAAGAAGCGAGCACCGAGGGGGACCUGCUGCGUCUCCCGACGUGUGAGGGGCUGUUAGAAAAAGCUGGUUCAUAACAUCCCAGCUUUGCGUGGCUUCUCUGGUGCAUUGUGAGGCUCUUCUUCAGCCGAAAGCCUUUCCCACACUCAGCACACACAUGUGGUCUCUCACCUGGGCAGCUGCGCCGGUAAAAAGUGCUUGGAACACCCGACUGUUACCAAGACCCCUGGAGAACAAGGGGCGAAGCAGCUGCUUUUCCCCCUCACAGUCUAAGCUUUCAUGCCUAAAGAGACAAAAUGCAUUUCACUGGCUGUAAGUCCCCCCCCGUGCAGAAGACUCGCCCAACGCACUGAAAGCCUUCACACCGCACUUACACUUUGUAAAGCCACAAUACAAAUGGCAGCAGGAGUUUCCAUCUUCAAUGACUCUCAGCUGCUCCACAUCAGCUGUGCUUAGUUUACAAAUCAAACCGUGAGUCCUCUGGCUACAAGCUCUGCAAACUCAGCCUGGGAUCUGAGAGGUCCAGUGCUCCCCGGAGGAGUCCCUCUGUCCAGCCUCCCAACCCCCUGGCAGGGAGCCAGGCAACCCCCCUUCAGAAUCCUUGGUUGGGGUGCCUGUCGGUGUUCAGACCUCGUGAACAUGAGCCGUUCUCCACCGACUCACCGCCAUCACCACAGCACUGCACACUUCCUUUGCUCAAACCAUCUGCAUUGCUGCUUCCUUCGCCAUACAAGUGGGUCAGCAGCGCUCAUUCUUCCAACGGCUCUUUGGAUCCUGGGC